GUGCCCCAAGAGGGGCAGCACAUACCCUAAAAUAGAAAGAGUACACAGAGAAGACUAGCACGGCCCUGCCCAAGGAUGACAUGCAAAUGUAAAGCCACUUGUAUUUUU